rnacentral:rRNA from 1 species
CGUGUAGGCGGGAAGGUAAGUCAGAUGUGAAAUUCCAGGGCUCAACUCUGGCGCUGCAUCUGAAACUAUCUUUCUUGAGUGAUGGAGAGGAAAGUGGAAUUCCUAGUGUAGCGGUGAAAUGCGUAGAUAUUAGGAGGAACACCAGUGGCGAAGGCGACUUUCUGGACAUUAACUGACGCUGAGGCGCGAAAGCGUGGGGAGCAAACAGGAUUAGAUACCCUGGUAGUCCACGCUGUAAACGAUGGAUACUAGGUGUAGGGGGGUAUCGACCCCCCCUGUGCCGGAGUUAACACAAUAAGUAUCCCACCUGGGGAGUACGGCCGCAAGGUUGAA